rnacentral:rRNA from 1 species
GACGUAGGGGGCCAGCGUUGCUCGGAAUCACUGGGCGUAAAGGGUGCGUAGGCGGGGUUAUUAAGUCAGAGGUGAAAUCCUGGAGCUCAACUCCAGAACUGGCCUUUGAUACUGAUAGUCUUGAGUAUGGGAGAGGUGAGUGGAACUGCGAGUGUAGAGGUGAAAUUCGUAGAUAUUCGCAAGAACACCAGUGGCGAAGGCGGCUCACUGGCCCAUUACUGACGCUGAGGCACGAAAGCGUGGGGAGCAAACAGGG